AUUGAACGCUGGCGGCAGGCCUAACACAUGCAAGUCGAACGAGUGGCGGACGGGAGAGUAAUGUCCGUGCAACUUACCGAGGGAUGGGGAUAACUACUGGUAACGGUAGCUACAAACGCCUACAACCAGAUGUGCCCAGAUGGGAUUAGCGAGUUGGUGGGGUAACGGCUCACAAAGGCCACGAUCCCUAGCUGGUCUGAGAGGAUGACCAGCCACACUGGAACUGAGACACGGUCCAGACUCCUACGGGAGGCAGCAGUGGGGAAUAUUGCACAAUGGGCGAAAGCCUGAUGCAGCCAUGCCGCGUGUAUGAAGAAGGCCUUCGGGUUGUAAAGCACUUUCAGCAGGGAGGCGUUACCCGCAGAAGAAGCACCGGCUAACUCCGUGCCAGCAGCCGCGGUAAUAC
rnacentral:rRNA from 1 species